AAAAAUAAUAAUAAUAAUAAUAAAAUUUUCAGAGUAGAAAAGUUGCUAAAAAGUUUUUAAGGGUUUUCAUGCGAAUCUCCUCAGAAGGUUGCCAUUAAUUAACCUUAACUCUACUUACUCCAUGUCCCAUUGUCUCCCCAAACCAGAUUUCAAAUACCUGGGGAAAGAACCUGAUUGGCUCUGCUAGUCAGGUGUCAUCCAUACCUGAAAGAAUCAGCCCUAUGUGGGGCUGUCCUGGAGAAGCAGGAAGACUGUGCUAGGUUGGCACUCCAGAAAGUUCCGGCUCAGGAAACUUAAGCCAAGUACACAUCACUCAAAGCCACAUGAUUUUCAGGAAAAGGCCGGAGUUGAGGGUGCCUGAUUUCUUUUGCCUCGCCUGAGAACAGGUCUGUUUUGCUCAAUGUCCUACAAUAUUUGAUAGAACUGGAUUCAAAUAUGGUGCAUCAUCACCUGAUUCCCCUAUCGAUCAUAUGCAGGUCUGAAACUAAAGGUGCCAUGGAAUUGUCUCCCAUAUAAUUCUGAAGGUGCUUGAUCUACUCUCUCUUAAUCCCAAGACUUGUCAUUCAGAGGUCACCAUCCUCUUAGAAGGAAGAAUCAGUAAUAGAAAACAGAAGUAAUAGACUCACUCCUGCAUAGUAAGUCUCUCUGUAUUAGUGAUCAGAAGUAAGGGGCAGCUCCAUUGGCCUGUUACCUUGGAUCAUCAUGAGUAAAAACAUUCGGAUGGUAGAAAGUAGAGGGAAAUGAUUGGCAAUUAAAGGCCUAGAAGUAAUUUUCUUUGGAAUUUUUUUUUCUCCUUCUCAUCUUUCAAGUUGAUGUGGACAUUUCUCUUUGAAUGGCGCAGCCAAUAGGUGAGUUGAUUCUUGGUGAUAAUCAUAGAUAAGGUUAAUCUCAGGAUUAGGUUAAAAAAAAAAAGAGGGGGAAUAAGCACUUUCUCCCUAAAUAUUUCCUACUGAAAUAAUCACUGUUGCAAUCACAGAAUGUCUCCUAUAACUCUUUGAAAUGAUUGAAGUGAGCCCUCACAUUCUUUCUGGCAAGGUGAAUUCCUGGGUACAUUUCACAAAGUAGAACUUCCAACCGCAUUGGCAUUUCCAAGAAUAUAUCUGGAAAAAAACAAAUGAAUCUUAACUCUCUAAGAGCUCUUUGUCUGUUUUUAACCAGUGGUGAGAAAUAUAAGUGGGGACAGUGAAGAACAACCUGUACCAUACAUAUUGGACAGUCUUCAGUUUUGAGAGCUGGAAAGCCUUUAGAGAUCAU
rnacentral:lncRNA from 1 species